rnacentral:rRNA from 1 species
GACGAACGCUGGCGGCGUGCCUAAUACAUGCAAGUUGAGCGAUGAAGAUUGGUGCUUGCACCAAUUUGAAGAGCAGCGAACGGGUGAGUAACGCGUGGGGAAUCUGCCUUUGAGCGGGGGACAACAUUUGGAAACGAAUGCUAAUACCGCAUAACAACUUUAAACAUAAGUUUUAAGUUUGAAAGAUGCAAUUGCAUCACUCAAAGAUGAUCCCGCGUUGUAUUAGCUAGUUGGUGAGGUAAAGGCUCACCAAGGCGAUGAUACAUAGCCGACCUGAGAGGGUGAUCGGCCACAUUGGGACUGAGACACGGCCCAAACUCCUGCGGGAGGCAGCAGUAGGGAAUCUUCGGCAAUGGACGAAAGGCUGACCGAGCAACGCCGCGUGAGUGAAGAAGGUUUUCGGAUCGUAAAACUCUGUUGGUAGAGAAGAACGUUGGUGAGAGUGGAAAGCUCAUCAAGUGACGGUAACUACCCAGAAAGGGACGGCUAACUACGUG